ACCGCAGCAGAUAAAGCGCAUGCCUGUUCCUAAGCUGGCUGCUGCUGUCUUGUUACUUGGGUGACCAACAGGUAGAAGCACCUGUGUUUUGUGAAGGAGGAACUUUAUCCUUAGUGGUCUGUGGAAGUCAUUGCUGAAUGGUACUGGGUAAAAAUCACCCGUUCAGGGGAGUUCGUGUUCCCAUUGGAUUCUCCACACAAAAACCUAAUGAGUGUCUUGUACUGGGGAGAUUUCGAGAAAAAACGGCCUUAAAGUGUUAAGGAGCCCGGAUGUGAACGUGCCCCCGGUUCCAGAUGGGAAACUGAUUGUCAGUGUGCCCAGCCUUCUUCAUUCACACAAGCCGCCCCUUGCUGGUGCGUGUCUGUGAGACCCGGCUGUGAGGACUCGGAAAAUAUUCCCAGAGGGAUUGAAUUUCGUAUUGGAAUGGUCUGUAGGUUUGUGAGUUGGAUGCUUAAUAUUCUGAAGUGUGUAGAAAACUUCCCGUAGAACGUAUGAAAUAGAGCCCAUGUUAGUGUGUAUUACCUCAGCUGUCCUUCAGCAUCAUCUCUCAGGGUUUCUUUACUGUCCUUGUCCCUCCAGUAGUAUCCUGGGCCAAUGAAGGCUGUUGGGGUUCAGAGGAUGUAGUUCAGUGAGUGGCCUUGUUUGCCCUCAGGUUUAGGAUUCAGACCCAGCAUAAUAGAAGAGAUGUCUAGGAUCCCCUGAACAUGGUGAUUUUAUAUCUCCAGAAGGCAGGCUACCAUUGCAACAGGGGAAGGAAGCUGCUGAGGCUGCUGUUCCCUCAAGCUGGAGUGCUGAGCGUGGUGCUCCUCGCUCAGUGUAACCAGCAGCAAGGACAGUGUUAGCCAUGGGCAUUGGCUCACGUGAGUGUGAGUCCUGGCUGUGCAGUUCUGGCAGGUUCCCUCGGUCUUUUCCUUGCCACCCUCAUUCCCAGAGGGAGUAA